GACGAACGCUGGCGGCGUGCUUAACACAUGCAAGUCGAACGGAAAGGCCCUGCUUUUGUGGGGUGCUCGAGUGGCGAACGGGUGAGUAACACGUGAGUAACCUGCCCUUGACUUUGGGAUAACUUCAGGAAACUGGGGCUAAUACCGGAUAGGAGCUCCUGCUGCAUGGUGGGGGUUGGAAAGUUUCGGCGGUUGGGGAUGGACUCGCGGCUUAUCAGCUUGUUGGUGGGGUAGUGGCUUACCAAGGCUUUGACGGGUAGCCGGCCUGAGAGGGUGACCGGCCACAUUAGGACUGAGAUACGGCCCAGACUCCUACGGGAGGCAGCAGUAGGGAAUAUUGCACAAUGGGCGGAAGCCUGAUGCAGCAACGCCGCGUGCGGGAUGACGGCCUUCGGGUUGUAAACCGCUUUCGCCUGUGACGAAGCGUGAGUGACGGUAAUGGGUAAAGAAGCACCGGCUAACUACGUG
rnacentral:rRNA from 1 species